AACGAACGCUGGCGGCAUGCCUAACACAUGCAAGUCGAACGAGACCUUCGGGUCUCGUGGCGCACGGGUGCGUAACGCGUGGGAACCUGCCCUUAGGUUCGGCAUAACUCCCCGAAAGGGGUUCUAAUACCGGAUAAUGUCUUCGGACCAAAGAUUUAUCGCCUUUGUAUGGGCCCGCGUUGGAUUAGCUAGUUGGUAGGGUAAAAGCCUACCAAGGCGACGAUCCAUAGCUGGUCUGAGAGGAUGAUCAGCCACACUGGGACUGAGACACGGCCCAGAAUCCUACGGGAGGCAGUAGUGGGGAAUAUUGGACAAUGGGCGAAAGCCUGAUGCAGCCAUGCCGCGUGAGUGAUGAAGGCCUUAGGGUCGUAAAGCUCUUUUACACGGGAUGAUAAUGACAGUACCGGGAGAAUAAGCUCCGGCUAACUCCGUG
rnacentral:rRNA from 1 species